GGCAAGCGUUGUCCGGAAUUAUUGGGCGUAAAGCGCGCGCAGGCGGUUUCUUAAGUCUGAUGUGAAAGCCCCCGGCUCAACCGGGGAGGGUCAUUGGAAACUGGGAAACUUGAGUGCAGAAGAGGAGAGUGGAAUUCCACGUGUAGCGGUGAAAUGCGUAGAGAUGUGGAGGAACACCAGUGGCGAAGGCGACUCUCUGGUCUGUAACUGACGCUGAGGCGCGAAAGCGUGGGGAGCGAACAGGAUUAGAUACCCUGGUAGUCCACGCCGUAAACGAUGAGUGCUAAGUGUUAGAGGGUUUCCGCCCUUUAGUGCUGCAGCUAACGCAUUAAGCACUCCGCCUGGGGAGUACGGUCGCAAGACUGAAACUCAAAGGAAUUGACGGGGGCCCGCACAAGCGGUGGAGCAUGUGGUUUAAUUCGAAGCAACGCGAAGAACCUUACCAGGUCUUGACAUCCUCUGACACUCCUAGAGAUAGGACGUUUCCCUUCGGGGAACAGAGU
rnacentral:rRNA from 1 species